rnacentral:misc_RNA from 1 species
UGCUGAUACAAGUUGCAAUUUCUCAACAAACUGACUUACAAUUGCUCUCAGCACAAUUGAAUUUGACAGCCAAAAAGUUAACCUUGGAACAUCAUUUCCACAAGCUUUAGAAGCCAAAACUAAUCCUGAGAUGAUAGCUCUAGCUGCACUUGCCCUCUUAGCCUGUGAAAUUGCCUUGCAAGUAUGAAGAUAGAACCUUGAAAGGCGCCUGGCUGGAGCAUGAACUUUGUUUGCAGAACUGCCAUGCUCAGCAACAAC